rnacentral:rRNA from 2 species
GCAUCAUGAUUUACAUUUGAGUGAGUGGCGAACUGGUGAGUAACACGUGGGAAACCUGCCCAGAAGCGGGGGAUAACACCUGGAAACAGAUGCUAAUACCGCAUAACAACUUGGACCGCAUGGUCCGAGUUUGAAAGAUGGCUUCGGCUAUCACUUUUGGAUGGUCCCGCGGCGUAUUAGCUAGAUGGUGGGGUAACGGCUCACCAUGGCAAUGAUACGUAGCCGACCUGAGAGGGUAAUCGGCCACAUUGGGACUGAGACACGGCCCAAACUCCUACGGGAGGCAGCAGUAGGGAAUCUUCCACAAUGGACGAAAGUCUGAUGGAGCAACGCCGCGUGAGUGAAGAAGGGUUUCGGCUCGUAAAACUCUGUUGUUAAAGAAGAACAUAUCUGAGAGUAACUGUUCAGGUAUUGACGGUAUUUAACCAGAAAGCCACGGCUAACUACGUGCCAGCAGCCGCGGUAAUACGUAGGUGGCAAGCGUUGUCCGGAUUUAUUGGGCGUAAAGCGAGCGCAGGCG